rnacentral:rRNA from 1 species
UACGUAGGGGGCUAGCGUUGUCCGGAUUUAUUGGGCGUAAAGAGCGUGUAGGCGGCCAGGUAGGUCUGCUGUGAAAACUCGAGGCUCAACCUCGAGACGCUGGCGGCGAAACCAUCUGGCUAGAGUCCGGAAGAGGAGAAUGGAAUUCCCGGUGUAAGCGGUGAAAUGCGCAGAUAUCGGGAGGAACACCAGUAGCGAAGGCGGCUCGCUGGGCCAUUCCUGACGCUGAGACGCGAAAGCUAGGGGAGCGAACAGG